AUAUCAUUGGCAUUUUCAUAGGAAUUUCAGUAAUAGAUUUCUUUUGUCAGUAUGAUCAUUUAAAAACAUUUUUUAGAGGCAGAUAUUUUCUGUAGCAGUUAAGAUGUUGCUUGAGAUACCUGCCUCACAUAUCUGAAUGCCUGGAUUCCAGUCCUAGUGCUCUACUUCUGAUUUCAGCUUCCAGUUGAUGCAUACCCUGGGAGGAAGCAGGUGGGAUGGUUCAAGUGGUCAGGUCCUUGCCAUCCACCUGGGAGAUCCAGAUUGAGUUCUCAGCUCCUGGCUUCAACCUGGCUCAGUAAUGGUUGCAGGCAUUUGGGAAAUGAGCCAACCAAUGAGAGAUACCUUUCUUUAUUUCUAAAUAAAUAAGCAAAAAAGAGGCUGUGUGUGUGUGUGUGUGUGUGUGAGAGAGAGAGAGAGAGAGAGAGAGAGAGAGGUUUGAUAGUUUACCCCUAAACACCCACAAUAGCUAGGACUGAGUUAUGCUGCAGCCAGGAGCUGGGAAUUCAAUUUAGGUUUUCCAUAUGAGUGGCAAGAGCCCAAUUACUUGAGACAUCACUGCUGCCAUCCAGGUUCUGCACUAGUGGGAAGCUGGAUUCAGAAGCCUGUGUUGGGUAUCAAACUCAGUAUGGGAUUUGACAUCUUAACUGCUGGGGCAAACACCUGCCUCACCAUUUUAUUUUAUGAAGAGGACAAAAAUUUUAGUAGGGGAAAAGAAAAUGCAUGUAGUUUAAGUGCUGAGUUCAUUCAUGUGUUAGGAAUUUGAGAUAAGUAUUCUUGCACGUGUAAUUACGGAAUGACUUUUUCAUAAAGCUGUUUGACUCCUCAAGUUACUUUCCCUCUCUGUUGUUUUAAAUCACACAGUUUCUAACUGUACCGUUUGAGGUAAGUCAGCUUGAGCAUAUCCCGAAUUGCGCAUCUCUUCCCUCUCUUAUUCCCACUCUUAUAUUUAACAGCGAUCACUUUUCAAUUAAGUUUCAGCACUUAAGAAUAAUUGUGUAUUGAUUACAGUAUUCAACCAAAAGUAUUAAGUAGAACAAACAAAAAAAAAUAUACUAAGAGGGAUAACAUAUUAAGUUGUUCAUCAACAGUCAGGGUGAGGGCUGAUCAAGUGGGAUAUACCAAUGCCAUCUCACUAGUCCCAGUGAUCAAUUUCUGUUCACAAUUGAUCAUAAUGAUAGGACUAAGAACCAAAGGGAUCACAUAAACAAGAAUAGUGUCUGCAAAUACUAGCUGAUAGAAUAAAAAAGGGAGAGAACAAUCCA
rnacentral:lncRNA from 1 species